AGAGUUUGAUCCUGGCUCAGGACGAACGCUGGCGGCGCGCCUAACACAUGCAAGUCGAACGAGCGAGAGAGAGCUUGCUUUCUCGAGCGAGUGGCGAACGGGUGAGUAACGCGUGAGGAACCUGCCUCAAAGAGGGGGACAACAGUUGGAAACGACUGCUAAUACCGCAUAAGCCCACGGCUCGGCAUCGAGCAGAGGGAAAAGGAGCAAUCCGCUUUGAGAUGGCCUCGCGUCCGAUUAGCUAGUUGGUGAGGAACGGCCCACCAAGGCGACGAUCGGUAGCCGGACUGAGAGGUUGAACGGCCACAUUGGGACUGAGACACGGCCCAGACUCCUACGGGAGGCAGCAGUGGGGAAUAUUGCACAAUGGGGGAAACCCUGAUGCAGCGACGCCGCGUGGAGGAAGAAGGUCUUCGGAUUGUAAACUCCUGUUGUUGGGGAAGAUAAUGACGGUACCCAACAAGGAAGUGACGGCUAACUACGUGCCAGCAGCCGCGGUAAACGUAGGUCACAAGCGUUGUCCGGAAUUACUGGGUGUAAAGGGAGCGCAGGCGGGAAGACAAGUUGGAAGUGAAAUCUAUGGGCUCAACCCAUAAACUGCUUUCAAAACUGUUUUUCUUGAGUAGUGCAGAGGUAGGCGGAAUUCCCGGUGUAGCGGUGGAAUGCGUAGAUAUCGGGAGGAACACCAGUGGCGAAGGCGGCCUACUGGGCACCAACUGACGCUGAGGCUCGAAAGUGUGGGUAGCAAACAGGAUUAGAUACCCUGGUAGUCCACACCGUAAACGAUGAUUACUAGGUGUUGGAGGAUUGACCCCUUCAGUGCCGCAGUUAACACAAUAAGUAAUCCACCUGGGGAGUACGACCGCAAGGUUGAAACUCAAAGGAAUUGACGGGGGCCCGCACAAGCAGUGGAGUAUGUGGUUUAAUUCGACGCAACGCGAAGAACCUUACCAAGUCUUGACAUCCCUUGACGAUGCUGGAAACAGUGUUUCUCUUCGGAGCAAGGAGACAGGUGGUGCAUGGUUGUCGUCAGCUCGUGUCGUGAGAUGUUGGGUUAAGUCCCGCAACGAGCGCAACCCUUAUGGUCAGUUACUACGCAAGAGGACUCUGGCCAGACUGCCGUUGACAAAACGGAGGAAGGUGGGGAUGACGUCAAAUCAUCAUGCCCUUUAUGACUUGGGCUACACACGUACUACAAUGGCGUUAAACAAAGAGAAGCAAGACCGCGAGGUGGAGCAAAACUCAGAAACAACGUCCCAGUUCGGACUGCAGGCUGCAACUCGCCUGCAC
rnacentral:rRNA from 1 species